rnacentral:SRP_RNA from 1 species
GCCGGUGGGGUGGCACAUGCCUGUAGUCCCAGCUACUCGGGAGGCUGAGGCAGGAGGAUCGCUUGAGCCCAGGAGUUCUGGGCUGUAGUGUGCUAUCCUGUCUGCACUAAGUUCGGCAUCAAUAUGGUGACCUCCUGGGAGCGGGCUACCACCAGGUUGCCUAACGAGGGGUUAACCGGCCCAGGUCAGAAACAGAGCAGGUCAAAACUUCCGUGCUCAUCAAUUGGUUGAUGUUUCUCUUUAUCAUGGAUCAUGUCAGACACUGACUUUG